rnacentral:rRNA from 1 species
UACGUAGGGUGCGAGCGUUGUCCGGAAUUAUUGGGCGUAAAGAGCUUGUAGGCGGUUUGUCGCGUCUGCUGUGAAAAUCCGGGACUCAACCCCGGACCUGCAGUGGGUACGGGCAGACUAGAGUGUGGUAGGGGAGACUGGAAUUCCUGGUGUAGCGGUGAAAUGCGCAGAUAUCAGGAGGAACACCGAUGGCGAAGGCAGGUCUCUGGGCCUUACCUGACGCUCAGGUGCGAAAGCUAGGGGAGCGAACAGG